GCUCAGAUUAACCCUCACUAAAGGGACUAGUCCUGCAGGUUUAAACGAAUUCGCCCUUUCCAGGCCCUACGGGGCGCAGCAGUCGCGAAAACUUCGCAAUGGGGGCAACCCCGACGAGGGAAUUCCAAGUGCUAGCACUUUGUGUUAGCUGUUCUUCUGUCUAAAAAACAGGAGGAGUAAGGGGCGGGUAAGACGGGUGCCAGCAGCCGCGGUAGAAGGGCGAAUUCGCGGCCGCUAAAUUCAAUUCGCCCUAUAGGGUGAUCGUAUUAA
rnacentral:rRNA from 1 species